rnacentral:rRNA from 1 species
AGUGAACGCUGGCGGUAGGCCUAACACAUGCAAGUCGAACGGCAGCACAGUAAGAGCUUGCUCUUACGGGUGGCGAGUGGCGGACGGGUGAGGCAUACAUCGGAAUCUACUUUUUCGUGGGGGAUAACGUAGGGAAACUUACGCUAAUACCGCAUACGACCUACGGGUGAAAGCAGGGGAUCUUCGGACCUUUCGCGAUUGAAUGAGCCGAUGUCGGAUUAGCUAGUUGGCGGGGUAAAGGCCCACCAAGGCGACGAUCCGUAGCUGGUCUGAGAGGAUGAUCGGCCACACUGGAACUGAGACACGGUCCAGACUCCUACGGGAGGCAGCAGUGGGGAAUAUUGGACAAUGGGCGCAAGCCUGAUCCAGCCAUACCGCGUGAGUGAAGAAGGCCUUCGGAUUGUAAAGCCCUGUUGUUGGGGAAGAAAAGCAGCAGGUGAAUACCCCGCUGUUCUGACGGUACCCAAAGAAUAAGCACCGGCUAACUUCGUG